GCGAGUAUGGCCCUCACGGGUCUAAUCCACCACAAACACCUUUGUGAACCAGUCAGGGGGACUCGGCCGUGAAAGCCCAGGCGAUUAGCGGAAGGGCCCUCCUUUGCAAACCCGUUUAGAAAUCUUGAAAGUACUUUUGUAUAAUCUAGUA
rnacentral:misc_RNA from 1 species